rnacentral:rRNA from 1 species
GGGUUGUGAGGUUAAGCGACUAAGCGUACACGGUGGAUGCCCUGGCAGUCAGAGGCGAUGAAGGACGUGCUAAUCUGCGAUAAGCGUCGGUAAGGUGAUAUGAACCGUUAUAACCGGCGAUUUCCGAAUGGGGAAACCCAGUGUGAUUCGUCACACUAUCAUUAACUGAAUCCAUAGGUUAAUGAGGCGAACCGGGGGAACUGAAACAUCUAAGUACCCCGAGGAAAAGAAAUCAACCGAGAUUCCCCCAGUAGCGGCGAGCGAACGGGGAGCAGCCCAGAGCCUGAAUCAGUGUGUGUGUUAGUGGAAGCGUCUGGAAAGGCGCGCGAUACAGGGUGACAGCCCCGUACACAAAAAUGCACAUGCUGUGAGCUCGAUGAGUAGGGCGGGACACGUGGUAUCCUGUCUGAAUAUGGGGGGACCAUCCUCCAAGGCUAAAUACUCCUGACUGACCGAUAGUGAACCAGUACCGUGAGGGAAAGGCGAAAAGAACCCCGGCGAGGGGAGUGAAAAAGAACCUGAAACCGUGUACGUACAAGCAGUGGGAGCACGCUUAGGCGUGUGACUGCGUACCUUUUGUAUAAUGGGUCAGCGACUUAUAUUCUGUAGCAAGGUUAACCGAAUAGGGGAGCCGAAGGGAAACCGAGUCUUAACUGGGCGUUAAGUUGCAGGGUAUAGACCCGAAACCCGGUGAUCUAGCCAUGGGCAGGUUGAAGGUUGGGUAACACUAACUGGAGGACCGAACCGACUAAUGUUGAAAAAUUAGCGGAUGACUUGUGGCUGGGGGUGAAAGGCCAAUCAAACCGGGAGAUAGCUGGUUCUCCCCGAAAGCUAUUUAGGUAGCGCCUCGUGAAUUCAUCUCCGGGGGUAGAGCACUGUUUCGGCAAGGGGGUCAUCCCGACUUACCAACCCGAUGCAAACUGCGAAUACCGGAGAAUGUUAUCACGGGAGACACACGGCGGGUGCUAACGUCCGUCGUGAAGAGGGAAACAACCCAGACCGCCAGCUAAGGUCCCAAAGUCAUGGUUAAGUGGGAAACGAUGUGGGAAGGCCCAGACAGCCAGGAUGUUGGCUUAGAAGCAGCCAUCAUUUAAAGAAAGCGUAAUAGCUCACUGGUCGAGUCGGCCUGCGCGGAAGAUGUAACGGGGCUAAACCAUGCACCGAAGCUGCGGCAGCGACGCUUAUGCGUUGUUGGGUAGGGGAGCGUUCUGUAAGCCUGUGAAGGUGUGCUGUGAGGCAUGCUGGAGGUAUCAGAAGUGCGAAUGCUGACAUAAGUAACGAUAAAGCGGGUGAAAAGCCCGCUCGCCGGAAGACCAAGGGUUCCUGUCCAACGUUAAUCGGGGCAGGGUGAGUCGACCCCUAAGGCGAGGCCGAAAGGCGUAGUCGAUGGGAAACAGGUUAAUAUUCCUGUACUUGGUGUUACUGCGAAGGGGGGACGGAGAAGGCUAUGUUGGCCGGGCGACGGUUGUCCCGGUUUAAGCGUGUAGGCUGGUUUUCCAGGCAAAUCCGGAAAAUCAAGGCUGAGGCGUGAUGACGAGGCACUACGGUGCUGAAGCAACAAAUGCCCUGCUUCCAGGAAAAGCCUCUAAGCAUCAGGUAACAUCAAAUCGUACCCCAAACCGACACAGGUGGUCAGGUAGAGAAUACCAAGGCGCUUGAGAGAACUCGGGUGAAGGAACUAGGCAAAAUGGUGCCGUAACUUCGGGAGAAGGCACGCUGAUAUGUAGGUGAAGUCCCUCGCGGAUGGAGCUGAAAUCAGUCGAAGAUACCAGCUGGCUGCAACUGUUUAUUAAAAACACAGCACUGUGCAAACACGAAAGUGGACGUAUACGGUGUGACGCCUGCCCGGUGCCGGAAGGUUAAUUGAUGGGGUCAGCGCAAGCGAAGCUCUUGAUCGAAGCCCCGGUAAACGGCGGCCGUAACUAUAACGGUCCUAAGGUAGCGAAAUUCCUUGUCGGGUAAGUUCCGACCUGCACGAAUGGCGUAAUGAUGGCCAGGCUGUCUCCACCCGAGACUCAGUGAAAUUGAACUCGCUGUGAAGAUGCAGUGUACCCGCGGCAAGACGGAAAGACCCCGUGAACCUUUACUAUAGCUUGACACUGAACAUUGAGCCUUGAUGUGUAGGAUAGGUGGGAGGCUUUGAAGUGUGGACGCCAGUCUGCAUGGAGCCGACCUUGAAAUACCACCCUUUAAUGUUUGAUGUUCUAACGUUGACCCGUGAUCCGGGUUGCGGACAGUGUCUGGUGGGUAGUUUGACUGGGGCGGUCUCCUCCUAAAGAGUAACGGAGGAGCACGAAGGUUGGCUAAUCCUGGUCGGACAUCAGGAGGUUAGUGCAAUGGCAUAAGCCAGCUUGACUGCGAGCGUGACGGCGCGAGCAGGUGCGAAAGCAGGUCAUAGUGAUCCGGUGGUUCUGAAUGGAAGGGCCAUCGCUCAACGGAUAAAAGGUACUCCGGGGAUAACAGGCUGAUACCGCCCAAGAGUUCAUAUCGACGGCGGUGUUUGGCACCUCGAUGUCGGCUCAUCACAUCCUGGGGCUGAAGUAGGUCCCAAGGGUAUGGCUGUUCGCCAUUUAAAGUGGUACGCGAGCUGGGUUUAGAACGUCGUGAGACAGUUCGGUCCCUAUCUGCCGUGGGCGCUGGAGAACUGAGGGGGGCUGCUCCUAGUACGAGAGGACCGGAGUGGACGCAUCACUGGUGUUCGGGUUGUCAUGCCAAUGGCACUGCCCGGUAGCUAAAUGCGGAAGAGAUAAGUGCUGAAAGCAUCUAAGCACGAAACUUGCCCCGAGAUGAGUUCUCCCUGACUCCUUGAGAGUCCUGAAGGAACGUUGAAGACGACGACGUUGAUAGGCCGGGUGUGUAAGCGCAGCGAUGCGUUGAGCUAACCGGUACUAAUGAACCGUGAGGCUUAACCUUACAACGCCGAAGCUGUU